GAUCAUGGCUCAGGAUGAACGCUGGCGGCGUGCUUAACACAUGCAAGUCGAACGAAUAACCCACCUUCGGGUGGUUAUAGAGUGGCGAACGGGUGAGUAACACGUGACCAACCUACCUCUCACUUCGGGAUAACCCAGAGAAAUCUGUGCUAAUACCGAAUACUCCGGAGGCCCCGCAUGGGGCCUCCGGGAAAGCUCCGACGGUGGGAGAUGGGGUCGCGGCCUAUUAGAUAGUUGGUGGGGUAACGGCCUACCAAGUCAGCG
rnacentral:rRNA from 1 species